rnacentral:lncRNA from 1 species
GGGGUCAUGGGAUGUGGGGUUAUGGGGGGGUUAUGGGGGACACGGGGAGAUUGGAGGCGAUUUGGGGCCGUUUUCACCACGGUUUUGGGGCCAUUUUCUAUGGGAUUUCGGGGGCCAUUUUGGGGCCACUUUCAAUGGGAUUUUGGGCCAUUUUGGGCCACUUUCAAUGGGAUUUUGGUCAAUUUGGGGCCGUUUUCAAUGGGAUUUUGGUCCCUUUUGGUGCAUUUUGGUGCGUUUUGUGCCAUUUUCAAUGGGAUUUUGGUCCAUUUGGGGCCAUUUCCAACAGGAUUUUGGUCCCUUUCGAUCAAUUUUGGGCCACUUUCAACAGGCCUUUGUUCCCUUUUGUUCCCUUUUGGUCCCUUUUGGUUCCUUUUGGACCAUUUCCAUCAGGAUUUUGGUCCCUUUUGGUGCAUUUGGGGCCACUUUCAAUGGGAUUUUGGUCCCUUUUGGACCAUUUCCAUCAGGAUUUUGGUCCAUUUCGAUCAAUUUGGGGCCACUUCCAAUGGGCUUUUGUUCCCUUUUGUUCCCUUUUGGUCCCUUUGGUUCCCUUUGUUCCCUUUUGUUCCCUUUGUUCCCUUCCUGCCCACCUCCCUUGGGAUUCCGCUGCCCUGGGUUCCCUUUGGUUCCCCUGUGUCCCCUUUUGUCCCCUGUUCCCCCUGUGUCCCCUGUGCCCCCUGUGUCCCCUGCUCCCCCUGUGUCCCCUGUGCCCCCUUUUGUCCCCUGUUCCCUCUUUUGUCCCCUGUUCCCCCUGUGUCC